UACGUAGGGUGCAAGCGUUGUCCGGAAUUAUUGGGCGUAAAGAGCUCGUAGGCGGUUUGUCGCGUCUGCUGUGAAAACUCGGGGCUUAACUCCGGCCUGCAGUGGGUACGGGCAGACUAGAGUGCGGUAGGGGAGACUGGAAUUCCUGGUGUAGCGGUGAAAUGCGCAGAUAUCAGGAGGAACACCGGUGGCGAAGGCGGGUCUCUGGGCCGUAACUGACGCUGAGGAGCGAAAGCGUGGGAGCGAACAGG
rnacentral:rRNA from 1 species